GGAUGCGAUCAUACCAGCACUAAAGCACCGGAUCCCAUCAGAACUCCGAAGUUAAGCGUGCUUGGGCGAGAGUAGUACUAGGAUGGGUGACCUCCUCGGAAGUCCUCGUGUUGCAUGUS
rnacentral:rRNA from 16 species